rnacentral:misc_RNA from 1 species
UUUAGAGAGCAUAACAUUUGGCACCAUCAUCUAAUGUGUGUUUAUUGAGCUUUCUUCGUCUUACCACCAUGUGUUGUGGUUUGCUUUAAAAAGAUCACCUUCCUGCGGUUCAAUCCAUUUGGUAUUCAGCCUUAUGGGUUGAUUUUUCACUUUUUUCCUUUUCUGCAGCAUUUCAAGCCUUGUUUACUGCAUGCGGACUGAGAAUAUUGUCUCAGUAAUGUGCAACGGCAAGUGGAUUAUGAAGGAGAAGAAGAUUUUGAAUGUGGAUGAGGUACUUUUCUUUUCCCGUCUGGUGUGAUCUAGAUUGACAGCAGAUAUGCUUCAUUCUCUUCAAUUCAUGUUAAAUUUGUCCAAUGAAUCUUUUGAAUCCAACCCUCCAUGGGAGUUCGGUAUUGUAGUUUGACAUAUUGAGAAAGCACAACGGUAGCUUCUAUAAAAUUGAGAACUUUCACAUGUCCAGUUUUUGAAAAAUACCAUUACACUAGAAGUUAAAAUAUUUAGUGCAAUUUAUCAAAUGGAAAUAAGCUCAAUUUGCUUCCUAUACUUUUUAGAGAUGUUCAAUUUAGUAUAUUUUUAACUUUUGGUUCAAUUUAGCCCUUCUACUUUUUGUUUAAGUUCAAAUUGGUCCAAUUAAUAUACAUGCACCAUUUUUAAAUGGAAAUAAAUUCAAUUUGCCCCCUGUACUUUUUAGAGAUGUCCAAUUUAGCCUAUUUUCAACUUUUGAGUCCAAUUUAGCCCUUAUACAUUUGGUUUAAGUUCAAAUUAGC